rnacentral:rRNA from 1 species
UACGGAGGGUGCAAACGUUGCUCGGAAUCAUUGGGCGUAAAGCGCACGUAGGCGGCUCGUUAAGUCGGAUGUGAAAGCCCUGGGCUCAACCCAGGAAGUGCAUUCGAAACUGGCGAGCUUGAAUAUGGAAGAGGGUCGCGGAAUUCCCGGUGUAGAGGUGAAAUUCGUAGAUAUCGGGAGGAACACCAGUGGCGAAGGCGGCGACCUGGGCCAAUAUUGACGCUGAGGUGCGAAAGCGUGGGGAGCAAACAGGA